rnacentral:rRNA from 1 species
AUUGAACGCUGGCGGCAUGCUUUACACAUGCAAGUCGAACGGCAGCGCGGGGCAACCUGGCGGCGAGUGGCGAACGGGUGAGUAAUACAUCGGAACGUACCCAGAAGUGGGGGAUAACGUAGCGAAAGUUACGCUAAUACCGCAUACGUUCUACGGAAGAAAGUGGGGGAUCUUCGGACCUCAUGCUUUUGGAGCGGCCGAUGUCUGAUUAGAUAGUUGGUGAGGUAAAGGCUCACCAAGGCGACGAUCAGUAGCUGGUCUGAGAGGACGACCAGCCACACUUGGACUGAGACACGGCCCAGACUCCUACGGGAGGCAGCAGUGGGGAAUUGUGGACAAUGGGCGCAAGCCUAAUCCAGCAAUGCCGCGUGAGUGAAGAAGGCCUUCGGGUUGUAAAGCUCUUUUGUCAGGGAAGAAACGGCCGAGGCUAAUACCUUUGGCUAAUGACGGUACCUGAAGAAUAAGCACCGGCUAACUACGUGCCAGCCGCCGCGGUAACAC